rnacentral:misc_RNA from 1 species
UCCGGUUUGUCACCGGCAGUCUCGCAUGAGUCCCCGGCCGAACCGCUGGCAACAUGCGACGGGGGUUGCGCUCGUUGCGGGACUUAACCCAACAUCUCACGACACGAGCUGACGACAGCCAUGCAGCACCUGUGUUCCCGUUCCCUUUCGGGCACAGCCGGGUUUCCCCAGCCUCUCGGACAUGUCAAGGGUAGGUAAGGUUUUUCGCGUUGCAUCGAAUUAAUCCACAUAAUCCACCGCUUGUGCGGGUCCCCGUCAAUUCCUUUGAGUUUUAGCCUUGCGGCCGUACUCCCCAGGCGGGGUGCUUAAUGCGUUAGCUUCGGCACGGACGGGGUUGAUAUCCGCCCACACCUAGCACCCAACGUUUACGGCUAGGACUAC